UACGUAGGGGGCUAGCGUUGUCCGGAUUUAUUGGGCGUAAAGAGCGUGUAGGCGGCCACGCAGGUCCGUUGUGAAAACUGAAGGCUCAACCUCCAGACGUCGACGGAAACCGUAUGGCUAGAGUCCGGAAGAGGAGAGUGGAAUUCCUGGUGUAGCGGUGAAAUGCGCAGAUAUCAGGAAGAACACCUAUGGCGAAAGCAGCUCUCUGGGACGGUACUGACGCUGAGACGCGAAAGCGUGGGGAGCGAACAGG
rnacentral:rRNA from 1 species